GUCCUUGCCGUAAACGAUGUGGAUUAGGUGUUGGGGUGUUGAUCCCCCGGCGCCGCAGCUAACGCAUUAAAUCCACCACCUGGGGAGUACGGUCGCAAGACUGAAACUCAAAGAAAUUGACGGGGACCCGCACAAGCGGUGGAGCAUGUGGUUUAAUUCGAGGCUACGCGAAGAACCUUACCCAGGCUUGACAUGGUUAAGACAGCGCAUGAAAGUGCGUUUCUCCGCAAGGAGCUUUUCCACAGGUGCUGCAUGGCUGUCGU
rnacentral:rRNA from 1 species